rnacentral:rRNA from 1 species
UACAGAGGUCUCAAGCGUUGUUCGGAUUCAUUGGGCGUAAAGGGCGCGUAGGCGGCGGGGUAAAUCGGGUGUGAAAUCUCGGAGCUUAACUCCGAAACUGCAUUCGAUACUGCCGUGCUUGAGGACUGGAGAGGAGACUGGAAUUUACGGUGUAGCGGUGAAAUGCGUAGAUAUCGUAAGGAAGACCAGUGGCGAAGGCGGGUCUCUGGACAGUUCCUGACGCUGAGGCACGAAGGCCAGGGGAGCAAACGGG